rnacentral:ncRNA from 1 species
UACCUGGUUGAUCCUGCCAGUAGUCAUAUGCUUGUCUCAAAGAUUAAGCCAUGCAAGUCUAAGUACGAGCUCUCGUACAGUGAAACUGCGAAUGGCUCAUUAAAUCAGUUAUGGUUCAUUUGAUCGUACAGUUUACUUGGAUAACUGUGGUAAUUCUAGAGCUAAUACAUGCGAGAAGCGCCGACCUCGCGGGAGGCGUGCAUUUAUCAGACCAAAAACCGGCCGCGUCUUCGGGCGCGUUCGCCUUGGUGACUCUGGAUAACUUUGCGGAUCGCACGGUCUAGCACCGGCGACGGAUCAUUCAAGUGUCUGCCCUAUCAACUUUCGUCGGUACGGUAUUUGCCUACCGAGGUUCUUACGGGUGACGGGAAUCAGGGUUCGAUUCCGGAGAGGGAGCCUGAGAAACGGCUACCACAUCCAAGGAAGGCAGCAGGCGCGCAAAUUACCCAUUCCCGACGCGGGGAGGUAGUGACGAAAAAUAACAAUGCAGGACUCGUUCGAGGCCCUGUAAUUGGAAUGAGUACACUUUAAAAGCUUUAACGAGUAUCCAUUGGAGGGCAAGUCUGGUGCCAGCAGCCGCGGUAAUUCCAGCUCCAAAAGUAUAUAUUUAAGUUGUUGCGGUUAAAAAGCUC